rnacentral:rRNA from 1 species
UACAGAGGGUGCUAGCGUUGUUCGGAAAUACUGGGCGUAAAGCGCACGUAGGCGGCGCAGCAAGUCAGGGGUGAAAUCCCGGGGCUCAACCCCGGAACUGCCCUUGAAACUGCAGUGCUAGAAUUCUGGAGAGGCGAGUGGAAUUCCGGGUGUAGAGGUGAAAUUCGUAGAUAUUCGGAAGAACACCAGUGGCGAAGGCGACUCGCUGGACAGACAUUGACGCUGAGGUGCGAAAGCGUGGGGAGCAAACAGG